rnacentral:rRNA from 1 species
GACAGAGGGUGCAAACGUUGUUCGGAAUCACUGGGCGUAAAGCGCGUGUAGGCGGCCCGAUAAGUCCGCUGUGAAAGUCCAGGGCUCAACCCUGGAAUGCCGGUGGAUACUGUCGGGCUCGAGUCCGGAAGAGGCGAGUGGAAUUCCUGGUGUAGCGGUGAAAUGCGCAGAUAUCAGGAGGAACACCGGUGGCGAAGGCGGGUCUCUGGGCCGAUACUGACGCUGAGGAGCGAAAGCGUGGGGAGCAAACAGG